rnacentral:rRNA from 1 species
GACGAACGCUGGCGGCGUGCUUAAUACAUGCAAGUCGAACGGAAAGGCCCUGCUUUUGUGGGGUGCUCGAGUGGCGAACGGGUGAGUAACACGUGAGUAACCUGCCCUUGACUUUGGGAUAACUUCAGGAAACUGGGGCUAAUACCGGAUAGGAGCUCCUGCUGCAUGGUGGGGGUUGGAAAGUUUCGGCGGUUGGGGAUGGACUCGCGGCUUAUCAGCUUGUUGGUGGGGUAGUGGCUUACCAAGGCUUUGACGGGUAGCCGGCCUGAGAGGGUGACCGGCCACAUUGGGACUGAGAUACGGCCCAGACUCCUACGGGAGGCAGCAAUGGGGAAUAUUGCACAAUGGGCGGAAGCCUGAUGCAGCAACGCCGCGUGCGGGAUGACGGCCUUCGGGUUGUAAACCGCUUUCGCCUGUGACGAAGCGUGAGUGACGGUAAUGGGUAAAGAAGCACCGGCUAACUACGUG